GUUUCGGCUAGGGGGUCAUCCCGACUUACCAACCCGAUGCAAACUACGAAUACCGAAGAAUGUUAUCACGGGAGACACACGGCGGGUGCUAACGUCCGUCGUGAAGAGGGAAACAACCCAGACCGCCAGCUAAGGUCCCAAAGUCAUGGUUAAGUGGGAAACGAUGUGGGAAGGCACAGACAGCCAGGAUGUUGGCUUAGAAGCAGCCAUCAUUUAAAGAAAGCGUAAUAGCUCACUGGUCGAGUCGGCCUGCGCGGAAGAUGUAACGGGGCUAAACCAUGCACCGAAGCUGCGGCAGCGACACUAUGUGUUGUUGGGUAGGGGAGCGUUCUGUAAGCC
rnacentral:rRNA from 1 species